GCCACCAUACCCAAAACUGCAAGAGCAAGUCGAAGAAACUUAAGCACCUUCCUCAGAAAUCAUACCUUGCCCUUUUUCACCUUGAAUGACACAAGGAAAGGAAAAUAAUCUCUAGUGGAAUAGCUCUUGAAGUGGAAAAGCAAAGUUUGAGAGAAAUUAGCCUAAACUAGAAUGCUGAAGUGAAGCUAACAUGAAGAGUCAACCUGGAAGCUCUGCAUAGCAAUUCCUGGAGUAUGGCUGACAUGCUGCAAUAAUAAGGUAUAAUAUUGCAGAUAUAACACCUCCAUAGCAACCUUGGAAAGGCUUCCCAAAGUGCCCAAAGGGAACUGAGAGGUCUUUGUUCAAAUCAGACCCAUUCUCAAUUGGAAGGAUUAAAUCCGGCUAAGGUUUCAAUGCACUCAUGG